rnacentral:piRNA from 1 species
UAGUGGACAGAAGGGAUUUCUGA